rnacentral:rRNA from 1 species
GACGAACGCUGGCGGCGUGCUUAACACAUGCAAGUCGAACGGAAAGGCCCUGCUUUUGUGGGGUGCUCGAGUGGCGAACGGGUGAGUAACACGUGAGUAACCUGCCCUUGACUUUGGGAUAACUUCAGGAAACUGGGGCUAAUACCGGAUAGGAGCUCCUGCUGCAUGGUGGGGGUUGGAAAGUUUCGGCGGUUGGGGAUGGACUCGCGGCUUAUCAGCUUGUUGGUGGGGUAGUGGCUUACCAAGGCUUUGACGGGUAGCCGGCCUGAGAGGGUGACCGGCCACAUUGGGACUGAGAUACGGCCCAGACUCCUACGGGAGGCAGCAGUGGGGAAUUUUGCACAAUGGGCGGAAGCCUGAUGCAGCAACGCCGCGUGCGGGAUGACGGCCUUCGGGUUGCAAACCGCUUUCGCCUGUGACGAAGCGUGAGUGACGGUAAUGGGUAAAGAAGCACCGGCUAACUACGUG